AUUGAACGCUGGCGGCAUGCUUUACACAUGCAAGUCGAACGGUAACAGGUUAAGCUGACGAGUGGCGAACGGGUGAGUAAUGCAUCGGAACGUGCCCGGUCGUGGGGGAUAACACCUCGAAAGAAGUGCGAAUACCGCAUACGAUCUGAGGAUGAAAGCUGGGGACCGUAAGGCCUCGCGCGAUCGGAGGGGCCCAUGUCAGAUUAGGUAGUUGGUGGGGUAAAGGCCUACCAAGCCGACGAUCUGUAGCUGGUCUGAGAGGACGACCAGCCACACUGGGACUGAGACACGGCCCAGACUCCUACGGGAGGCAGCAGUGGGGGAUUUUGGACAAUGGGCGCAAGCCUGAUCCAGCAAUGCCGCGUGCAGGAAGAAGGCCUUCGGGUUGUAAACUGCUUUUGUACGGAGCGAAAAGGCUCUCUCUAAUACAGGGGGCAAAUGACGGUACCGUAAGAAUAAGCACCGGCUAACUACGUGCCAGCAGCCGCGGUAA
rnacentral:rRNA from 1 species